GACAAAUAGACAAAAGCGACUCGAGUGCUGUGCGCUGGUUCUAUGACGUCACGUAGCCCAUGUCACCCAAACAAAGGAAGCCUCGGGCGUUCCGCCCCGAAAGGCCUCUGGCUCCUUCUCCGUUAUAGGGAGGAAAGGUCAUGCCUGCCAGGGAAUGCUGUGCGCAUCGCAGUAGGACACUACCUGCCGAAACACGGGAAGCAAAGUCAACAAACACGCAGACAAAGGCAAUGGGAGGAAAAAUGUCCAAACAAACUGCGGCCUGCCCCCUCUCACCCCAGCUACCCUUCCACUGGGUGACUGGGGUACUCUGGGGAAGGUGACAUCAGACUCUAUUUGAGGGGGUCAAUAAACAAAUAAACACAUAGCAGCACAAGAAGAAUGGAUUCUGCAAUUAGUAUAAUUGGAGCUCCUCCCAAUGGAGGCCCAAGCGGAGAGGAAGGGGGACGGACCGCUUCCUCAGGAAAAAGCAUCGUCUUCUACUAUAAAACAGUCCGGCCAGGAAGCGCAGAAGCCCCAGAGUCGGGUUGCCCCUCUGAGGAGACGCGCGUGCACGCCGCAGCUCUCACGCACAGCGACAGAAGAGAGCAGGACCGUGAUGCCGCUGCCCUGAAAGCAAGAGGCACCUUCCGGAGCGCACGAGAAUUCCUUAAUUGGGAAGCAAAAUGCCUGUUCUUAAAAAUCUACCCGGGAAGCUGAAAGGGGGCAAAGUGAACAGAGAACUGGAAAACUCCCACGGAGAACUGAUCUUGCAUAAAAUGAGCCUGAGCCUGAAUCCGUUCGACGAGUCCGGUGGGGAAGAGGCUUGGGGUGAGAGGAAUGAGCACUCUCUUUUGGAUGGAGGUGCCCCCCGGGACCGCAACCCCUUUGGAGACGAGGAAGACGAAAAUGAGGCGAAUGAGGGGCGGCGGAGUGGGACGCCAAAGAGCGGCUCGCUGAAGGGCACGUUGGACCGCAUCCGUGGCUCAUCCCCACUCAAGACCCUGGGCAAGCUGGGCAAAGGGCUGCGGAUGUCAGGCCGCAGCAAAGGAGGGGGGACCUCUUCCCCAGAGGGCUCCCUAGGCACACCCUCUCCUCUAGAGAAGAAGAAGAAAAGCAGACGCAGCUCCGAGGGAAGUUUACUCAGAAUGGCUGGCAGGUGCAGAGAGAGCCUGCGCAAGGAGAGCCUCCCCAACGGUGACCUGAGUGUUGACAGUGACGCGGACUCCAGCCGUCGUCUCUCCUUCUUGAAGAUGGUGAGCCGAGGCAAGAAGAAGGAGUCACUGGGGGACUCUGUGUCCAGGGGACCAGAGGAGGAGGUGGUGGAGGAGGUGCCAGAGGUCAAACCCAGGGAGCCGCUUUCAGUCCUGGAGAUUCUGCAGCUGGUGACCAAGCGGGACCUGUUUCUGGCUGACACACACAUCCUGGAGCUCGAGCAGGAGUGUGAGGAGGUGGCGGCUGCUGGCUCCCCAGGAGCUUCCACAGAGGAGGCUUCCACCCCUGGCAGCAAGGAUGGGGGUCGGCGAAAGGCCAAAGAUGUGGAGCUGCUCUACGAGGCCCUCCAAAAGGAGCUGUGGGAGGUGGUGCGUGAGUCGCUGCGUUCCCCCACAGCUGGACCUAACCUUGGCCUGGUGGUGCAAGUUCUCGAACAGGAGGAACAAGCGGACCGGAACUGGGCCCAGAAGGAGGCCCUGUCCACGGGACCCAGGCCACGGCAGUUGAAGCGACGCUGGAAGGAAGCUGUUACUGAGGCAGCUGAUGGAAGCCUGCCCCAGCAGGUGGAGGCCCAAGCUGGGCACCUGGCAUCAUACCUGGACAGGCUGCGCACCCGGGUCGUGGAGGACCUUGGGGCAGCCCGUCGGAACGUGGUGUCAAUCUACCCGGAGGAGUACGGUGCCUUCCAGGUAUACGUCCAGAGCUACCACCAGGCCGUGGCACGGCGUUUGCAGGAGAUAACCAGCAGCUCAUUGCAGAUCACAGACACCUACUCCCUGCUGGACUGGAUAUACAACAUCUACAACAGAGAUGUUCUUGGUGUGGUCAGCAUAACAAGCCCUAUCAACCGCUCCCAGCUCAGACCACUGUUGCCCUCAGAAACCAUCGAUAAGCUAGAGCUGGAUUGUCUCAACUCAGUCCGGGCUAAAGUGACCACAGAACUGUCUCAGGUGUUGGACGAAGAGGAAAAACGAUGGACAGAGACACUGAACAUUGAAGACUUUCAGUCACCACUGGCCUCUAUUGUGAUCAAGCGUUUGCAGGUAGACCUGGACAGAUCAGCAACCAUAACCAGAGACCUGGCGGCCCGAGUAGCGCAGUGCAGCCUCAAUGGACUGGCUGACUUCCUCUACAGCUUCCAAAGGAAAGUGGAGAUGUUUCACGAACGUUUUAUGAGUGAGAGUGGAGAGUGGAGCGAUGGUUAUGUCUCCAAGACGAUUGCCCUGGUUAACUGCUGCCCACCUUUUAGGAAUUUUAUCCAGCGCUGUCAGCAGUGUGAGCCUGCUGUUAGUGAAGACUCUGCACGGAGGGGGAAUGCCUCUCUGGACAGGAUUGUCAACCAGGGUGUGAAGGUGCUGAGUGACAGGCUGUUUGAGCACAUCAGGCCUUUCUUUGACAAGCUGGUGAAGAGAAAGUGGCUGAAUAACACAGAGCCCUAUGAUUCCAUCGAGACAAUCAUCAAGGAGCACUUCAAAAAGUUCCGCAGAAUGGAUUGCCCUCCUUAUCAAAUACUGGUGAGUGAGGUACACAGGCGGGUCCUGACUGAAUAUUUGCGGGCCAUCAUGAGGGGAAGGAUCAUCUGCACAUCACUCAAAAUGAGGAAAAAGAUGGCUGGCCGACUUCGUGAUGAGGGCAGACAGCUUAAAAGGCUCUUUAAAGACCUGGAAUCUGGUGCUUCGUGGCUUGACACUGCAAUCCCACAUCUAUCAGAGAUAAUUCUCCUGGAGGACACCCCAUCUAUCCAAAUGGAAGUCGGAGUCUUAGUGAGGGAGUUCCCUGACAUACGGAAGAAACACAUUUCAGCCAUUCUUAACAUCCGUGGGAUGACGCGACAGGUGGAGCGACAGGAGAUUUUGAACAUUGUGAAGGACAUUGAGAAGGACAGUGACAGCCUAACGCAGCUGUCCCGUGACCGUGCUCUCUUCUCUGAGGUUCCUGUGACAUCUGAGGUUCACUGUGUCAAUGUUGGCCUCAGCCGGAUUGCUCUUACUGCAUCCUCUUGCUUUUCUGGCCUACGGACACGCCGCAAGAGAAUUCCAAAGCGAGAAGUACAUGAGGGGAUCCUCUGAAUGGCAACUACUGGAUAGCAGCAAGCCCGAACUGCAGAGCUCCAAAACCGUGCUGAACCGAAGAAUUAUAGAAAUUUCUUUUACCCCCAGACAGUCCCAAAGAAACAGAUUAUUUUGCCAAAGAUAUAAACGCUCAUAAAUGACACAAAAUAUCUUUCAUUCAUUUCCACUUCACACAUAGUGGUACUGACUGAACCUUCCACUGUUUAAAAAGUCAUUUGGACCAAUUCCUGUCUGCUUUAAGUUAUCUAAAAUCUGUGAAAGAUUAUUAACCUCCUAUGGAGAAAAUAACAGAAUUAUUUCUAUUUUGGAUUUAGAGGGAAUUUUCUGUUUAAGUAUUAAAAUGUGAGAAUAUGUCAGAAAGGUUGCUACAUUCAGUUAAAAUCCAGGUGUAUUCAAUGUGGAUUAUUGAUAGUGAAGAUAUGCAACUUAGCAACUCACAGCAGUGACUACAUGGAGUUCCAUUUGUGCUAGAUAUGGAAACAAUCUCAUGAAGUUUCAAAAAGAUCAUGAUUGAAUAAUUCAGCUAAAAAUUAUUUGACUGACGUACAGAGAUUAUUGAUUAUACAGUUACACCUGUACUUUUGUAAUCAUAGCAGAGUUGUGUGCGACUGUAAAGUGCAGUGUUUAUUGUUUGAAUGCGUUGGCUUGAUUUAAGGUACUAUUCAUUUUAUUUUGUCUCCUGAUCGUCUUCAUAUUUAAAAGAAUUAUUAAUACAGGUUUUAAUCCUUUUAAUUUUAUGUUAGUGAGUGUAAAUUGUAGAAUUCCAAACAUUAUUCCAGUAGUGAUUGAUGAAUGGUAACAAGAAAACAGCUAUUUAUAUGCAAACAGGAAGUCUUUAUUAUUAUAUUUAUUGUACUGUAGUCUGGCCUGCUUGUAACUGUAGUCAGACUCUAAGAAAUCAUUUGGUGAAAUGUACAUGCAUUUUAUUUGUUUUCCAUCUGAUUUAAGAUUUAUAUUUACAUGACACAGAAACAAAAAAAUAUUAAUAAAUAAAAAAGUAUUAAAGGGCUGUUAAAAUAU
rnacentral:lncRNA from 1 species